rnacentral:rRNA from 1 species
GACGAACGCUGGCGGCGUGCCUAAUACAUGCAAGUCGAACGCAGUGGGGACGGGUGAGUAACACGUGGGUAACCUCCCAUCUGAGGGGAUAAAACUUGGAAAAAGGUGCUAAACCGAUACUGAUGGAUGGACCCGCGGUGCAUUAGCUAGUUGGUGAGGUAACGGCUCACCAAGGCCACGAUGCAUAGCCGGCCUGAGAGGGUGAUCGGACACACUGGGACUGAGACACGGCCCAGACUCCUACGGGAGGCAGCAGUAGGGAAUAUUGGGCAAUGGACGCAAGUCUGACCGAGCCAUGCCGCGUGAGUGAAGAAGGUGUUCGGAUCGUAAAACUCUGUGGUUAGAGAAGCGUUAUCUAACCAGAAAGCCACGGCUAACUACGUGCCAGCAGCCGCGGUAAUUC